CCCUUAGAUGUUCUGGGCCGCACGCGCGCUACAAUGGUCUUCGCAAACGGAUGCAUUCUCGAAGGAGAAUGCCAAUCUUGGAAUCUAUGCCUUGGUCGGGACAGUUGCUUGCAAUUUUUCGACUCGAACCAGGAAUUCCUUGUAAUCGUGAUUCAUCACAUCACGAUGAAUACGUCCCUGCCCUUUGUACACACCGCCCGUCGCUCCUACCGAUCGAAGAGUUAGGUGAAUUGUUUUGAUCGAUAAGAUUUGACUAUGGUCAACUCUCGUUGUGAAAUUCUGAGAAUCUGACUGUUUAGAGGAAGGAAAAGUCGUAACA
rnacentral:rRNA from 1 species